ACGAACGCUGGCGGCGUGCUUAACACAUGCAAGUCGAGCGGUAAGGCCCUUUCGGGGGUACACGAGCGGCGAACGGGUGAGUAACACGUGGGUGACCUGCCCUCAGCUCUGGGAUAAGCCUGGGAAACCGGGUCUAAUACCGGAUAUGACUCCAUGACGCAUGUUGUGGGGUGGAAAGCCUUGUGCGGCUGAGGAUGGGCCCGCGGCCUAUCAGCUUGUUGGNGGGGUGAGGCCUACCAAGGCGACGACGGGUAGCCGGCCUGAGAGGGCGACCGGCCACACUGGGACUGAGACACGGCCCAGACUCCUACGGGAGGCAGCAGUGGGGAAUCUUGCGCAAUGGGCGAAAGCCUGACGCAGCGACGCCGCGUGAGGGAUGACGGCCUGG
rnacentral:rRNA from 1 species